rnacentral:rRNA from 1 species
GAUGAACGCUAGCUACAGGCUUAACACAUGCAAGUCGAGGGGCAUCAGGAAGAAAGCUUGCUUUCUUUGCUGGCGACCGGCGCACGGGUGAGUAACACGUAUCCAACCUGCCCUUUACUCGGGGAUAGCCUUUCGAAAGAAAGAUUAAUACCCGAUAGCAUAAUGAUUCCGCAUGGUUUCAUUAUUAAAGGAUUCCGGUAAAGGAUGGGGAUGCGUUCCAUUAGGUUGUUGGUGAGGUAACGGCCCACCAAGCCUUCGAUGGAUAGGGGUUCUGAGAGGAAGGUCCCCCACAUUGGAACUGAGACACGGUCCAAACUCCUACGGGAGGCAGCAGUGAGGAAUAUUGGUCAAUGGGCGCUAGCCUGAACCAGCCAAGUAGCGUGAAGGAUGAAGGCUCUAUGGGUCGUAAACUUCUUUUAUAUAAGAAUAAAGUGCAGUAUGUAUACUGUUUUGUAUGUAUUAUAUGAAUAAGGAUCGGCUAACUCCGUGCCAGCAGCCGCGGUAAUACGGAGGAUCCGAGCGUUAUCCGGAUUUAUUGGGUUUAAAGGGAGCGUAGGUGGACUGGUAAGUCAGUUGUGAAAGUUUGCGGCUCAACCGUAAAAUUGCAGUUGAUACUGUCAGUCUUGAGUACAGUAGAGGUGGGCGGAAUUCGUGGUGUAGCGGUGAAAUGCUUAGAUAUCACGAAGAACUCCGAUUGCGAAGGCAGCUCACUGGACUGCAACUGACACUGAUGCUCGAAAGUGUGGGUAUCAAACAGGAUUAGAUACCCUGGUAGUCCACACAGUAAACGAUGAAUACUCGCUGUUUGCGAUAUACAGUAAGCGGCCAAGCGAAAGCAUUAAGUAUUCCACCUGGGGAGUACGCCGGCAACGGUGAAACUCAAAGGAAUUGACGGGGGCCCGCACAAGCGGAGGAACAUGUGGUUUAAUUCGAUGAUACGCGAGGAACCUUACCCGGGCUUAAAUUGCAGUGGAAUGAUGUGGAAACAUGUCAGUGAGCAAUCACCGCUGUGAAGGUGCUGCAUGGUUGUCGUCAGCUCGUGCCGUGAGGUGUCGGCUUAAGUGCCAUAACGAGCGCAACCCUUAUCUUCAGUUACUAACAGGUUAUGCUGAGGACUCUGGAGAGACUGCCGUCGUAAGAUGUGAGGAAGGUGGGGAUGACGUCAAAUCAGCACGGCCCUUACGUCCGGGGCUACACACGUGUUACAAUGGGGGGUACAGAAGGCAGCUACCUGGUGACAGGAUGCUAAUCCCAAAAGCCUCUCUCAGUUCGGAUCGAAGUCUGCAACCCGACUUCGUGAAGCUGGAUUCGCUAGUAAUCGCGCAUCAGCCACGGCGCGGUGAAUACGUUCCCGGGCCUUGUACACACCGCCCGUCAAGCCAUGGGAGCCGGGGGUACCUGAAGUACGUAACCGCAAGGAUCGUCCUAGGGUAAAACUGGUGACUGGGGC